AAGCAGGGGAUCGCAAGACCUUGCGCUUUUGGAGUGGCCGAUGCCUGAUUAGCUAGUUGGUGGGGUAAGGGCCUACCAAGGCACCGAUCAGUAGUUGGUCUGAGAGGACGACCAGCCACACUGGGACUGAGACACGGCCCAGACUCCUACGGGAGGCAGCAGUGGGGAAUUUUGGACAAUGGGCGAAAGCCUGAUCCAGCAAUGCCGCGUGAGUGAAGAAGGCCUUCGGGUUGUAAAGCUCUUUCAGUCGGGAAGAAAAGGUUGCGACUAAUAAUCGCGAUUCAUGACGGUACCGACAGAAGAAGCACCGGCUAACUACGUGCCAGCAGCCGCGGUAAUACGUAGGGUGCGAGCGUUAAUCGGAAUUACUGGGCGUAAAGGGUGCGCAGGCGGCUCUGUAAGUCAGAUGUGAAAUCCCCGGGCUUAACCUGGGAAUUGCGUUUGAAACUACAAGACUAGAGU
rnacentral:rRNA from 1 species